UACGAAGGGGGCUAGCGUUGCUCGGAAUCACUGGGCGUAAAGCGCACGUAGGCGGAUUGCUAAGUCAGGGGUGAAAUCCUGGAGCUCAACUCCAGAACUGCCUUUGAUACUGAGGAUCUUGAGUACGGGAGAGGUGAGUGGAACUGCGAGUGUAGAGGUGAAAUUCGUAGAUAUUCGCAAGAACACCAGUGGCGAAGGCGGCUCACUGGCCCGUAACUGACGCUGAGGCACGAAAGCGUGGGGAGCAACAGG
rnacentral:rRNA from 1 species